rnacentral:rRNA from 1 species
GGGCCCGCACAAGCAGCGGAGUAUGUGGGUUACUUCUACNCAACGCGAAGAACCUUACCAAGGCUUGACAUGCAGGGUAAAGCGGCGGAAACGUCGUGCCCGCAAGGGCCCUGCACAGGUGGUGCAUGGCUGUCAUCANCUCGUGUCGUGAGAUGUUGGGUUAAGUCCCGCAACGAGCGCAACCCCUGUCCUAUGUUGCCAGCAUUAAGUUGAGGACUCAUAGGAGACUGCCGGCGUCAAGCCGGAGGAAGGUGGGGAUGACNUCAAGUCAUCAUGCCCCUUAUGUCUUGGGCUGCACACGUGCUACAAUGGCCGGUACAAUGGGCUGCGAUGGAGCGAUCCGGAGCGAAUCCCACAAAACCGGUCCCAGUUCGGAUCGAAGGCUGCAACCCGCCUUCGUGAAGUCGGAGUUGCUAGUAAUCGCGGAUCANCAUGCCGCGGUGAAUACNUUCCCGGGCCUUGUACACACCGCCCGUCACACCACCCGAGUCGUUUGCACCCGAANUCNCUGGCCUAACCCGCAAGGGAGGGAGGCGCCCAAAGUGUGGAGGGUAANGGGGGUG